GCGCAUCUGCGCGGCUGACUGUCGUGGGGCCUCCUUUUCAUUAUCCCUCUCGUGCUCAACAUGGGAGGGAAUUGGGUAGAUGGCUUUGUCUGUGCGGUUAUAUCUGAUUCGGGAAACAUGAUCGGUCCCAUCAUGGCUGUAUUUCGCUUGCCCUGUUUGAUUAUUUUAAUAAUUGCAGGGAAGCCGAAUUGUUGGUGAAACCCUCGUGCAUUCURUGGCNUUUUUGCUAAUGGUAACUGCAUGCGGGUGCUGCCGGCUCUCGCGAAUGCUGUGUCCAAUAUAAGUUCUGUAGGACAUUGGUCCACAGGCUUUGAGAGGUCCCAUCUACAGAUCAUGGGUCUGUCGAUUGCCCGUCAUGUUGGCUCUGCCUUCAUGUCGUAGCGUUGUUUGGGUUGCCUGUCCGAUCGAAUGAGCAGUGAUUGUCGGCUAGUGUUGUGAGAUGGUCCUUCCCUUCAGGGCAGUUCCGGAAAACGAUGUACCGACUCUCG
rnacentral:misc_RNA from 1 species